GAAGGUAUAGCUCAGUGGUAGAGCAUGUGCUUAGCAUGCAUGUAGUCUUGGGUUCAAUCCCCAGUACCUCCA
rfam:Camelus ferus unplaced genomic scaffold scaffold1310, whole genome shotgun sequence.